AGUGAACGCUGGCGGUAGGCCUAACACAUGCAAGUCGAACGGCAGCACAGUAAGAGCUUGCUCUUACGGGUGGCGAGUGGCGGACGGGUGAGGAAUACAUCGGAAUCUACUUUUUCGUGGGGGAUAACGUAGGGAAACUUACGCUAAUACCGCAUACGACCUACGGGUGAAAGCAGGGGAUCUUCGGACCUUGCGCGAUUGAUUGAGCCGAUGUCGGAUUAGCUAGUUGGCGGGGUAAAGGCCCACCAAGGCGACGAUCCGUAGCUGGUCUGAGAGGAUGAUCAGCCACACUGGAACUGAGGCACGGUCCAGACUCCUACGGGAGGCAGCAGGGGGGAAUAUUGGACAAUGGGCGCAAGCCUGAUCCAGCCAUACCGCGUGGGUGAAGAAGGCCUUCGGGUUGUAAAGCCCUUUUGUUGGGAAAGAAAAGCAGCAGGUUAAUACCCCGCUGUUCUGACGGUACCCAAAGAAUAAGCACCGGCUAACUUCGUG
rnacentral:rRNA from 1 species